rnacentral:sRNA from 1 species
GCUGGGUGCUGUGGAGCAUACUUGUAAUCCCAUCUACUCAGGAAGCUGAGGCAGGAGGAUCACAAGUUAGAAGUCAUCCUGGGCAACUUAAUGAGGCCGUAAGCAACUUAGUGAGAUCCUGUCUCAA